GCCGCCAGGCUCUCCUCAGUCCUCAUUAACUUGAGGAGCCCAGCUCUAAAGAGGCAGGAGCUAAGGUAGAAACCAAGGCUAGCAGAAGCCGUUAUUUUUCAGGCCCAAGGUCAUUUUGAGUGGGUAAGCCUUCCCACCUCAACCCAAAGAAGACCGUGGUACAGCCAUAGACAACCUUGACCCUGAAUUGAGAUCAAUGGGUAAGAGCCAGCAGAGGAGAGGGCCAUCAGGUAUAGGCCCCCAGUCUCAAGCUCCUCCCUUUCCAUGUAAAGGCCUGCAGGCCCUUCCAACUGCCUACGUUCCAAGGAGAGGGGAGGGGACACAACCCACCGGAAACCUGCCUCCUACUUUGGGGGUCACUCUUGCCCCUGCCUCCUUACUCUGAGAUAGGGAUGGAGUAGUCUUCGUGGCCUGGGUGGUCGUUAUAUUUGUAGCGCUAAUGGCCUGGGCAUGCUGGGGUAGGAGGCUGAGCCAGAGCAGAGCAGCCAGCAGGCAGGCUCUGUACCCACCCAGGCCCGAUGGCUGGGCCCUGGCGCUCUGCAUCGCAUCUGGCCGGCCUGCCCCUGGGUCCCAGGCAGGUCCGAAAGCACGUGCUGACAACCGCUGACGCCGGCAAACUGCCUCUAGGGGACAUCUCUCGUCCACCCCACCUCGCGGAGCUGAGCAAGUGAGCUGAAAACCUAGGUCCACAGGAGGCAGUCAGCACUGGAGCAAGUUUUGUCCUCGGCUCUCUUCUCUGGCUCCCCCUGGAGCAAUCAUCAACUGCCAACAGCUUCUCAGCUAAAAUUGGGCCUGUUAACUUGCCAAGAAGGCUAGGCAGACUGGCCAGUGAAUCCCAGGGGUCCACCUGUCUCUGCCUCCAUGGCUGCUGGGAUAAUAAAGCAUGCAACCAA